CCUACGGGCGGCAGCAGUGGGGAAUAUUGGACAAUGGGGGGAACCCUGAUCCAGCCAUGCCGCGUGUGUGAAGAAGGCCCUCGGGUUGUAAAGCACUUUCAGUGAGGAAGAACGCCUGGUGGUUAAUACCCAUCAGGAAAGACAUCACUCACAGAAGAAGCACCGGCUAACUCCGUGCCAGCAGCCGCGGUAAUACGGAGGGUGCGAGCGUUAAUCGGAAUUACUGGGCGUAAAGCGCGCGUAGGUGGCUUGAUAAGCCGGUUGUGAAAGCCCCGGGCUCAACCUGGGAACGGCAUCCGGAACUGUCAAGCUAGAGUGCAGGAGAGGAAGGUAGAAUUCCCGGUGUAGCGGUGAAAUGCGUAGAGAUCGGGAGGAAUACCAGUGGCGAAGGCGGCCUUCUGGACCGACACUGACACUGAGGUGCGAAAGCGUGGGUAGCAAACAGGAUUAGAUACCCCGGUAGUC
rnacentral:rRNA from 1 species